UGGCUCAGUGGUAGAGCAUGACGCUUGCAAUGUCAGGAUUAUGGGUUUGACUCCCGG
rnacentral:tRNA from 1 species